UAGGGAAUCUUCCGCAAUGGACGAAAGUCUGACGGAGCAACGCCGCGUGAGUGAAGAAGGAUUUCGGUUCGUAAAACUCUGUUGUUAGGGAAGAAAAAAUGUAUAGUAACUAUAUACAAAAGAGACGGUACCUAACCAGAAAGCCACGGCUAACUACGUGCCAGCAGCCGCGGUAAUACGUAGGUGGCAAGCGUUGUCCGGAAUUAUUGGGCGUAAAGCGCUCGUAGGCGGUCUGUUAGGUCGGCAAGUUAAAUCCGGGGGCUCAACCCCCGUCCGCUUCCGAUACCGGCAGACUUGGGUUUGGUAGGGGAAGGUGGAAUUCCUAGUGUAGCGGUGGAAUGCGCAGAUAUUAGGAAGAACACCGGUGGCAAAGGCGGCCUUCUGGGCCAUAACUGACGCUGAGGAGCGAAAGCUAGGGGAGCGAACAGG
rnacentral:rRNA from 1 species